rnacentral:rRNA from 1 species
UACGUAGGGGGCAAGCGUUGUCCGGAUUUAUUGGGCGUAAAGAGCGUGUAGGCGGCCAGAUAGGUCCGUUGUGAAAACUUGAGGCUCAACCUCGAGACGCCGAUGGAAACCAUUUGGCUAGAGUCCGGAAGAGGAGAGUGGAAUUCCUGGUGUAGCGGUGAAAUGCGCAGAUAUCUGGAAGAACACCAAAGGCGAAGGCAGUGUCCUGGGUGGUCGCUGACGCUGAGAGGCGAAAGCCAGGGGAGCGAACGGG